AUUCCCUGUUUUUUUUAACAACGCGUCAUAUUACGUAGUCAGAGGCGUUCUUCUGACAGGCUCUAUUGGCUCAGUGCUGCGGUUGUAUUAAGCAAAAGCAGUCGCAAAUUGAUGUGAUUCUUCGUAGUUUCAAUUUAGCAUCGUCAUGGUUAAUAAUUGUGUUAGUGGAGGUUUUACAAACUCCAGCCUGUCAGGACAAUGAGUCUACAGGUUUCUUUUGAAGAAUAAAGACCGCGCUAUCUUCCGUGUCUGGGUGUGUUUAGCGCAGCACGAGGAAAGAGACGAGAGACGCGACUUCACUUCAGCAUGUGCUUCAGAAAAACGCGGUGGUGUAUAGCGUUCACAUUUGAUCGGAGGAUUAUCAUCCCGGCAAUAUGAUGGAGUUAAACAUUGGAUGCCGAAGCAAGAACCACGUGAGGCCUGUGUUUUUGCCACCGCGAGAAAACAUGAAUCGAUCACGGUCCGUCUGAGAUGCAGCUCGAAGAUAACGUGAACUAUGCACAUUGUCCAGCUACAGAUUAAGAUGCUUAGUAUGAUUAAUCAUCCUCUGUUGUCAUGGAUGAACCUGGUGAUGUGUUAUGGAGGAGGAAAAACAAAAAAGACUCAUCUGAUGAGAAACCACUGCAAGAAUCUCAUCCUGUUCACACAAGUAAGACUUAUUCAAAAAUAAUGUUUUUUCUUUUUAUUCAGGGCUGUUGGCAAGUUCAUUGUUUGCUAAAGCCAGCUGAUGUCUGUUGUACCAUAACCUGUAUUUUUUGUUUUAUAUGCUAUGGUAUAGUAAUUUUCUGCUUUUUAUAUACAUCUCUUAGGUCUGUGCAGCAUGCAUGUAUCAGCAUUUUUUGUGACCAGUGACUUAAUUCUCUUCUGAGGGGCGUGAAUUCCAAAUAUGUGUUUGUUGUGACGUGUGUGAACCAUGUGCAUCAUGCCUCUUGUCACAAUACGUGCCUGCUGCACACGCGUUGAAAAGGUUUAUGAUAAAAGAAGCACUCAUGUUCACAAAAUACUCGCAAGACACUAAACUGUGAUUACACAGGAGAUUAAGUGAGUAUCAGGCAAACGUGAGCGUAUCUUUUAUCAUAAACCCUUUACAUGCGUGUGCAGCAGAUUUUGACAUCACGUGUGAUGCACAUAAGUUUACAUGACGCGCUGAACACAUAUUUUGAAAUGACAAGCAACAUGACGAGCUCAAUGCAUGUGACCAGCUUCGCAACGUGUGCCCUCGAAAAAAAGUCACCGGCCGACACUGACCCAGAUCAUCAAGAUGUUAAAGCUGUUUGGGCUUCAGAGCAUCUUGUCAGCACCUUCUUCCACCAAGUACACAAUUUCUACCAUCGUGAAGGCGUGGCAGAAUGAGAGAUUUGCAGUCACCACAGGCUCUACGAGAAUGCAGCACUGUCCUGUCUUCCACUACACCUGCUCCCCUCUCCAGAGCCAUCCAGAGGAUCAACAAGGAUGAAGCUGUUGGGAUCUAUUAAUCACAGCAUUCACAAUUUAACACAUUAUUAUAAUACCCGCACAUAUGAUGGAAAGAUACUGAAUUUUUUUUUAAAUGUUUUUAAAUGGGUCAGAUUGUAUAUCUUCCUUUCGGUGCUACAUAAAUAAAACUAAAUCGAAUUACAAAUGCAGAUCUACUUUGUAUAUAUCUGAUCUAAACUUCAUAAACCAGUUUUUAUACGGUAAGACAAUUUGUGAUUAUUGUUUAUUGAUUGUCACAAAAUGGGGGUAUUCAAACCAUUU